UUCUUAUCGAGAAAGGUGGAGGGACUGGCCCGCUGAAGCCUUAGCAGCAGACGUUGAUUUGUACUGUGCUAAUUCCAGAAGCAUUUUUGCUUGAAGAUAAGAA
rnacentral:ncRNA from 1 species